rnacentral:rRNA from 1 species
AUUGAACGCUGGCGGCAGGCCUAACACAUGCAAGUCGAGCGAGCGGCGGACGGGUGAGUAAUGUCUGGGAACCUGCCUGAUGGAGGGGGAUAACUACUGGAAACGGUAGCUAAUACCGCAUACCAUCAGAUGUGCCCCGAUGGGAUUAGCUAGUAGGUGGGGUAACGGCUCACCUAGGCGCCUAUCCCUAGCUGGUCUGAGAGGAUGCCCAGCCACACUGGAACUGAGACACGGUCCAGACGCCUACGGGAGGCAGCAGUGGAGAAUAUUGCACAAUGGGCGCAAGCCUGAUGCAGCCAUGCCGCGUGUGUGAAGAAGGCCUUCGGGUUGUAAAGCACUUUCAGCGGGGAGGCGUUACCAGCAGAAGAAGAACCGGCUAACUCCGUGCCAGCAGCAGCGGUAAUUC